AUUGAACGCUGGCGGCAUGCCUUACACAUGCAAGUCGAACGGCAGCACGGGAGCAAUCCUGGUGGCGAGUGGCGAACGGGUGAGUAAUAUAUCGGAACGUGCCCAGUCGUGGGGGAUAACGUAGCGAAAGCUACGCUAAUACCGCAUACGAUCUACGGAUGAAAGCGGGGGAUCGCAAGACCUCGCGCGAUUGGAGCGGCCGAUAUCAGAUUAGCUAGUUGGUGGGGUAAAAGCUCACCAAGGCGACGAUCUGUAGCUGGUCUGAGAGGACGACCAGCCACACUGGAACUGAGACACGGUCCAGACUCCUACGGGAGGCAGCAGUGGGGAAUUUUGGACAAUGGGCGCAAGCCUGAUCCAGCAAUGCCGCGUGCAGGAUGAAGGCCUUCGGUUGUAACUGCUUUGUACGAACGAAAGGACUCUGGUUAAUACCUGGGCGUCAUGACGGUACCGUAAGAAUAAGCACCGGCUAACUACGUGCC
rnacentral:rRNA from 1 species